GGCCUUCAACAAUGAGCAAAGCCCAUACCACAUAGCAAUUCGUUUAUUUAUACUGGGCUUUGUUAUAGUCUUGUAUGAUUUUUUAAUUUUAGUUCAUAAGUUUCAGAGUUUAGUGUGAUGUCCAUUUUCACUGAACUAUUACACAUUUGCAUUUAGGCUUACAGCCUCCGAGUACAGGAUUUUCUUCCUGUCCUAUUGACCAUUUGGUGGCCUUUGGCUGUUUGAUUGUUGUCUCUGUGACAGAAUCCCAAUUUCCAUUGUCAAUUUGUCUAAUAUAAAAUUACUUGAUAAAAAUAUAGGAUUGUAAAUUUUCAAAUGCUCUACAAUGUAUAAGGGAUAUGUGUUUUUACAUAAAUUGUCAUUCUGCCAUUUUUGUGUCAAGUUGCUCAUCCUGUCUUUAUUUUACUCAAAUUUCCUGCUGCUUAAUUUUCAUAUUUCAUCCUAGCCUCCC
rnacentral:lncRNA from 1 species